AUGCUCAGUGCCCGAAGCUCUCCUAUUAAACACAAAGAGCUCAUUCUCAGGCUCCUGGAGGCAGUCAAACUUCCUGCAAAAUUAGCUGUCAUCCACUGCAAGAGUCACCAAAAGGGGCGAAAAAAAGAGGCCCAGGGAAAUAGGAAAGCUGAUCAAGAGACAAGACGAGCUGCCAGGGAAGCUACCUCUGCCACUGCUAUCUGUCCCCUUUUCCCCAAGGAAACCCUGACUCCAGAUUAUACCCCAGAGGAACAUUCCCGAUAUGCUGAGCGGGGCUGGGAGAUUGGGUCACAUGGGUGGUUUCAGACUGAUCAGGCCCAAAUAAUACUCCCUGAUUCUCAGGUUUGGAAAAUUACUAACUCCUUACAUAAGAGCAUCCAUUUUGGAAGAGAUAAUCUAAAAAUCUUGCUUAAGUCUAUUCUCUACCAUCCCCAGUUAGCUAAGGUUGUUAGACAAGUCACACAGAAUCGUGACACCUGUCUAAGAAAUAAUCCAAAAACCAGACCCUUGCCAUCUCCUCUAAUUAAACCUGUCCAACAUCAGGGAUCAUACCCAAGAGAAGACUGGCAAGUAGAUUUUACAGCCAUGCCAAAGACCCAAGGGUUUUCUUAUUUGCUAGUCUUCAUUGACACAUUCACAGGAUGGAUCGAAGCAUUCCCUACUAAGACAGAGAGAGCUACAGAAGUCUGUAAAGCUCUGCUGAAGGAGAUAGUGCCUAGGUUUGGGCUGCCUCAGUCACUUCAGAGUGACAAUGGGCCCUCAUUUACAGCCACGAUAUCCCAGAACCUAGCCGCAUGCUUAGGCAUAAAAUACCGGCUCCACUCAUCCUGGAGGCCUCAAGCUUCAGGAAAGGUAGAGAGCGCCAACCAGACUCUUAAAAGGGCUCUGGCUAAGCUAUGUCAAGAAACACAUAAUAAGUGGACACAUAUGCUACCCAUAGCCCUCAUGAGGGUACGGACAUCCCCCAAAUGGCCACUAUUGUUAAGUCCUUAUGAAAUGAUGUAUGGAUGUCCAUUCUUAACUUCUGAUUUGUUUUUUGAUGAAGAUGCCAAUACACUCUUAAAACAUAUAAUUGACCUGAGAAGGUUUCAACAAAAACUCCAACGGUAUAGAGAACAGAUCCUCCCUAAACCACAGGAAGACUUGGAAAAACCCCCAGGUAGAGCCAGGGGAUCAAGUAUUAGUAAAGACCUGGAAAGAAAAAGGGAGUCCAAACCAGCUGUCCGAGAAAUGGACAGGGCCAUAUCAGGUUGUCCUAGUGACUUCAACUGUUCAGCUUUCUACCGACACUGCUGUAUCCAUAGAAAAAACAGCGAGGACCCUCCAACGCCUACAAUCCCAGUUAGACUCCCUAGCCACAAUGGUCCUACAAAAUCUGGGGCCCCUGACAGUACAGACUCCCAGUGGCAGCAGAAUGAGUGCCAGGCAAGUGCCCGGCCUCUGCGAGUGGGCUCCUGCGUGGAGGUGAUUGGAAAAGGCCACCGUGGCACCGUGGCCUAUGUUGGAGCCACUCUCUUUGCUACUGGCAAAUGGGUAGGUGUGAUCCUGGAUGAAGCAAAAGGCAAGAAUGACGGAGCCGUCCAAGGCAGGAAGUACUUCACUUGCAAUGAAGGACAUGGCAUCUUUGUGCGCCAGUCCCAGAUACAGGUAUUUGAAGAUGGAGUGGAUACUACACCAGAGACACCUGAUUCUUCUGCCUCAAAGGUCCUCAGGAGAGAGGGAACUGACUCAAACCCAAAGACCAGCAAACUGCCCACCCUCCCAGCCAGCACUGGGGUGGCCGGGGCCGGUGGCUCCCUGGGCCCCUCAGGCUCAGCGUCAGCAGGUGAGCUGAGCAGCAGUGAGCCCAGCACCCCAGCUCAGACUCCGCUGGCGGCGCCCAUCGUCCCCACGCCGGCCCUCACCUCUCCUGGAGCAGCACUCCCACUUCCUUCCCCCUCUAAGGAAGAGGAGGGGCUGAGGGCCCAGGUGCGGGGCCUGGAGGAGAAACUGGGGACCCUGCGGCUGAAACGUGCAGAAGACAAGGCAAAACUGAAAGAGCUGGAGAAGCACAAGGUCCAGCUGGAGCAGGUGCAGGAAUAGAAAAGCAAAAUGCAGGAGCAGCAGGCUGACCUGCAGCGGCGCCUCAAGGAGGCUCGCAAGGAAGCCAAGGAGGCCCUAGAGGCAAAGGAACGCUACAUGGAGGAGAUGGCUGACACUGCUGAUGCCAUCGAGAUGGCCGCUCUGGACAAGGAGAUGGCCGAAGAGCGGGCUGAGUCCCUACGGCAGGAGGCCGAGGUGCCGAGGGAACGUGUGCAAGAGCUCACUACUGACUUGGAGAUCCUCAAAGCCGAGACUGAAGAGAAGGGCUCAGAUGGUGCCACAUCCAGUUAUCAGCUCAAGCAGCUUGAGGAGCAGAAUGCCCGCUUAAAGGAUGCCCUGGUGAGAAUGCAGGAUCUUUCUUCCUCAGAGAAGCAAGAGCACGUGAAACUCCAGAAGCUCAUGGGAAAGAAGAACCAAGAGCUGGAAGUUGUGAAGCAACAGCGGGACCGUCUGCAGGAGGAGCUGAGCCAGGCAGAGCGCACCACUGAUGAGCUCAAGGAGCAGGUCGAUGCUGCUCUGGGGGCGGAGGAGAUGGUGGAGAUGCUGACAGACCGGAACGUGGACCUGGAAGAGAAACUGCGCAAAUUGAAGGAAACGGUGGGGGACUUGGAAGCAAUAAAUGAAAUGAACGAUGAACUGCAGGAGAAUGCACGUGAGACAGAACUGGAGCUGCGGGAGCAGCUAGAUAUGGCAGGAGCACAGGUCCGGGGUGCCCAGAAGCGUGUGGAAGCAGCCCAGGAGACCGUCGCGGACUAUCAGCAAACCAUCAAGAAGCACCACCAGCUGACCACGCACCUGCAGGAUGUGAAUCGGGCUCUGACAAACCAGCAGGAAGCGUCUGUGGAAAGGCAGCAGCAGCCACCUCCCGAGACUCUUGACUUCAAGAUCAAGUUUGCCGAGACUAAGGCUCAUGCUAAGGCAAUUGAAAUGGAAUUGAGGCAGAUGGAGGUGGCCCAGGCCAAGCGGCACAUGUCCCUCUUGACAGCCUUCAUGACCGACAGUUUCCUUUGGCCAGGUGGGGACCAUGAUUGCGUUCUGGUGCUGCUGCUCAUGCCUCGUCUCAUUUGCAAGGCAGAGCUAAUCCGGAAGCAGGCCCAGGAAAAGUUUGAGCUAAGCGAGAGCUGUUCAGAGCAGCCAGGACUUUGAGGAGAUGCAGGGGAGCAGCUCAGCUUUGCUGCUGGGCUGGUGUAUUCACUGAGUCUGCUGCAGGCCACACUCCAUCGUUAUGAGCACACCCUCUCUCAGUGCAGUGUGGACGUGUAUAAGAAGGUGGGCAGCCUCUACCCUGAGAUGAGUGCCCACGAACGCUCCUUGGACUUCCUCAUCGAGCUGCUGCACAAGGAUCAGCUGGAUGAGACUGUCAACAUAGAGCCUCUCACCAAGGCCAUCAAGUACUACCAGCAUCUAUACAGCAUCCACCUUGCUGAACAACCUGAGGACAGUACCAUGCAGCUGGCUGACCACAUUAAGUUUACCCAGAGUGCCUUAGACUGCAUGAGUGUGGAGGAGGGAUGGCUAUGAGCCUUCUUGCAGGGUGGGCAGGAGGCUUCAGAUACUGCCAUCCUGCUCCGGGACCUGGAAACUUCGUGCAGUGAUACCCGCCAGUUCUGCAAGAUCCGGCGGCAGAUGCCAGGGACGGAUGCGCCUGAGAUCCCAGCUGCAGUGGCCUUUGGAGCAUAGGUAUCUGACACACUCCUCGAGUGCAGAAAACACUUGACGUGGGUGGUGGCGGUGCUCCAGGAGGUGGCAGCAGCCGCUGCCCAGCUCGUUGCCCCACUGGCAGAGAACGAGGGGCUGCCUGUGGCUGCCUUGGAGGACCUGGCUUUCAAAGCAAGCGAGCAGAUCUACGGGACCCCUCCAGCAACCCCUAUGAGUGUCUGCGGCAGUUGUGCAGCCCCUCAUCAGCACUGUGAACAGGUUGGCCACAGCCAUGCAGGAGGGGGAGUACAAUGCCGAGCGGCCCCCUAGAAAGCCUCCCCCAGUUGAGCUGCGGGCUGCGGCUCUUCGUGCAGAGAUCACGGAUGCUGAAGGCCUGGGUUUGAAGCUUGAGGGUCGAGAGACAGUUAUUAAAGAGCUGGAGAAGUCACUGAAAAUCAAGGGGGAAGAGUUUCAGUGAGGCCGAUGUGAGGCUGAGCCUCCUGGAGAAGAAGCUGGACAGUGCUGCCAAGGAUGCAGAUGAGCGCAUUGAGAAAGUGCAGCCUCGGCUGGAGGAGACCCAGAGGCCGCUGCAGAAGGAGGAAAGAGUUUGAGGAGACCAUGGAUGCACUUCAGGCCGACAUCGACCAGCUGUAGGCAGAGAAGCCUGAGUUAAAGCAUCGACUGAACAGCCAGUCCAAGCGCACGAUUGAGGGGCUCUGGGGGCCCCCUCCCUUGGGUAUUGCCACGCUGGUCUCUGGCAUUGCUGGGGGAGGUGCCCCUGGGCAGGCUCCGGGGUCUGUGCCUGGCCCAGGGCUGGUGAAGGACUCACCCCUGCUGCUUCAGCAGAUCUCAGCCAUGAGGCUGCACAUCUCCCAGCUCCAGCAUGGGAACAGCGUCCUCAAAGGAGCCAAGAUGAAGGCAUCCUUAGCAGUCCUACCCCCUCUGCACAUGGCCAAACUCUCUCUCCCGCCCCAUCAGGGCCCUGGCAGUGAGCUUGCCAUGGAGCGCUGUAUCGUUAAGACCAACUAGCUGCUGGAGACAUUGAAUCAGUUGAGCGCACGCACCCAUGUGGUGGACAUCACUCGCUCCCACCUUGUUGCCAAGAGCCUGUCGGCCCAGCUCCUGGAGCAGGUAGCUCAGCUCAAGUCCUUAAGUGACACCAUUGAGAAGCUCAAGGAUGAGGUUCUUAAGGAGACUGUAUCUCAGCGCCCUGGAGCCACGGUCCCCACUGACUUUGCCACCUUCCCUUCAUCAGCCUUCCUCAGGGCCAAGGCAGAGAAGCAGGAUGAUGCUGUGUACAAGGGCAGAGUGACCUUCUGGUGCGCGGCUGGCCUUGGGCAGCGGUACCGGCUGGUGCUCACCCAGGAGCAGCUGCACCAGCUUCUAAACGCUUCUUCCCUCACUGCCGGCGGCUGCCCACAGCCCUCCGGGAGCCGCUCCUCCUGCUGCGUGGCCACCAGGCGGCCCCCGGGGAGAACCGCGUGUGUCAGCUCUUCCUGCCCCACUCGGCGUCACGCCCCCCCUCGGAGCCCUGCCCCUGCCCCUUGA